CCUACGGGGGGCUGCAGUGAGGAAUAUUGGUCAAUGGGCGGGAGCCUGAACCAGCCAAGUCGCGUGAGGGAAGACGGUCCUAUGGAUUGUAAACCUCUGUAGGCGGGGAGCAAAGCCGGGCACGCGUGCCCGGAGGGAGAGGACCCGCAGAAGAAGCAGCGGCUAACUCCGGGCCAGCAGCCGCGGUAAUACGGAGGAUGCGAGCGUGAUCCGGAUUUAUUGGGUUUAAAGGGUGCGUAGGCGGAUUUUGAAGUCAGCGGUAAAAUGUCCGGGCUCAACCCGGGCCGGCCGUUGAAACGGGGGAUCUUGAGUGGGCGAGAAGUAUGCGGAAUGCGUGGUGUAGCG
rnacentral:rRNA from 1 species